rnacentral:lncRNA from 1 species
GUCUUCAGCAGCAAGGCCAAUGAGAUCCAAGUAGGCCAGCUCAGGAAGGGAUGGGGGCGGUCCUCGCAGGGGCUGCUCACAGUCCGACUUCCAGUGGGGUCCUCCGCAGAGGGGGCAUGGCCUGGUGGGCUUACCUGGGUUUGAGCAUUGUCUGGACCAGUGGCCUUCAUUGCCGCACUUGAAACAGGCACCAGGUGGAGGUGGAGUGUUAGGAGGCUUCCGUGCGGAGCUGCCGCCCCGUGGGCCUGCAGGGCUCCUGAUGGCGGAGGCAAGCAUUUGAAACUCUGCCGGUUUUUGCCUUUUACUUUUCUCAUCACGAUUGUUAAAGACUUUGAUGGCUAAAUUAAGAAGGGUCUUGCUGUGCCGCUCAGGCUUGAGUACGCUGGUGUGAUCUCAGCUCACUGCAGCCUUGACCUCUGGGUUCAAGUGAUCCUCCCAUCUUGGCCUCCCAAUGUGCUGGAAUUACAGGCAGGAGACACUGAUUUACAAUCUUCUAAUAAGAGUCUUUAUCUUAAAGAUAUUUGUUUCCUGUGUUUGAGAAUUAAAAUGCUG